GGAAUUUGUUCUGUUCUCUCUGUUUAUAUACAUAAAAAAAUUAAAUGACCAAGACUUUUACGUUCAAAGGUAAACAAUUUCUUAAAUGUAAUCUUGGCACUAUAACUAAUAAUAGCAGAAUGACAGAAACUAAAGUGCAGUUUUGCAUCCGCUCCACUAGGCGGCAUAAGCGGGUUUCACCUUCAGUCUGACUCCUUCGGCUGCUUGACAACAUGACGCUUGAUGACAGUCACAACAACAACACGUGCAGAUACUGCAGAUGACAGCUGUUAAUGUCAGUUUAACAACAUGUUUUUCAGCUAAUCUGCAAAUAAAACCGACACACGGUCCGAUGAAACGCUGGAAUCGAGUGUGACGCGACUCACCUAAUAAGUGAUGUCUUGUUGGUUGUAAACUCGUCCGGCUGAAGCAGAGCUCUGGACGUGUGGACAGACAUUGACUGUAAUGAUGGACAUCUGCUCAGGGACAGUCUGUGCAAAAGUAUAACCUCUGCGGGUCACGGUGCUGGAAGCUCCAGGAGGAGACCGUACUGAUAUCCCCCUUCUUCAGGCGCGCCUUCACACACACUCCACCAUUCACUCAUAUCGCAGAGACCUGGCUGGGAUCAAACCAGCAACCUCUGAACCUGUGAGGCAGCGCUCUUACCUGUGAGCC